CUGGAUUCAGCGGCGGACGGGUGAGUAAUGCCUAGGAAUCUGCCUGGUAGUGGGGGACAACGUUUCGAAAGGAACGCUAAUACCGCAUACGUCCUACGGGAGAAAGCAGGGGACCUUCGGGCCUUGCGCUAUCAGAUGAGCCUAGGUCGGAUUAGCUAGUUGGUGAGGUAAUGGCUCACCAAGGCGACGAUCCGUAACUGGUCUGAGAGGAUGAUCAGUCACACUGGAACUGAGACACGGUCCAGACUCC
rnacentral:rRNA from 1 species